rnacentral:sRNA from 1 species
AGCAGCCGCGGUAAUUCCAGCUCCAAUAGCGUAUAUUAAAGUUGUUGCAGUUAAAAAGCUCGUAGUUGAAUUUCGGGAUUAAUUUACUGGUCGUGCUAUUGUACGUACUGGUUUUAUUGAUUCCUCCCUUCUGACGAACUAUGAUGUCAUUAAUUUGGUGUCAUAGGAAAUCAGGACUAUUACUUUGAAAAAAUUAGAGUGUUUAAAGCAGGCUCACGCUUGAAUACAUUAGCAUGGAAUAACGGAAUAGGACGUUUGAUUCUAUUUUGUUGGUUUUUAGGAUCGACGUAAUGAUUAAUAGGGAUAGUUGGGGGCAUUAGUAUUCAAUUGUCAGAGGUGAAAUUCUUGGAUUUAUUGAAGACUAACUACUGCGAAAGCAUUUGCCAAGGAUGUUUUCAUUAAUCAAGAACGAAAGUUAGGGGAUCGAAGACGAUCAGAUACCGUCGUAGUCUUAACCAUAAACUAUGCCGACUAGGGAUCGGAUGAUGUUAAUUUUUUAAUGACUCAUUCGGCGCCUUAC